rnacentral:rRNA from 1 species
UACGUAGGUGGCAAGCGUUGUCCGGAAUUAUUGGGCGUAAAGCGCGCGCAGGCGGUCCUUUAAGUCUGAUGUGAAAGCCCACGGCUCAACCGUGGAGGGUCAUUGGAAACUGGGGGACUUGAGUACAGAAGAGGAGAGUGGAAUUCCUGGUGUAGCGGUGAAAUGCGCAGAUAUCAGGAAGAACACCCGUGGCUAAGGCGGCUCUCUAGUACGGUACUGACGCUGAGACGCGAAAGCGUGGGGAGCGAACAGG